rnacentral:lncRNA from 1 species
CAGUGGGAUUCACCAAGCAGUUUUCAAAAAGGACAGAAAUUCUGGCCUCUCAGGUAACAUAUCUGCUGGGGGUUGAGGGGUAUCUUCCCUUCAUUACUUGGUGCUGGGUCCCAGAUGCCACCAUUAGUACUAGAUUUUUUUGAGCAUAGCAUUGCCAUCUUCAAGAGCCUUUUAAGGACACAGUCACCUAGAGGAUGGAACAUUUAGAAUCAGCAAUCUCAGAUGGAGAGUUAGAGCUGGAUGCUCUCUGAGAGCUUCCAAACUUAAGAAACUUAUGCUUUACCUGGGAAAAGCUGGGGUCCAGAAAGGGAGACCGACUUAGCCCUGGUCACACAGCAUGCAGCAGCCUCUGGACUUUUUUGGUCCGUGCUGUUUCCAGUUCUUCACAUGUCAGUGAUAUGGAGGCUGGAGGCUCUGGGUACUUGGUGGGGACAGGGAGGGAGUAAAACUGGAGAAAAUAUCUUUCUGCUUUAUGGCUUGCUCCAGCUGAAUGGCCCGGUGCUUGUCACAGGCUGGUGUCCUCUGCCCUUCCCUUGCCCCUGAGUCAAAUAAUAGUGGUGCUCAAUGUAUGAGCUGUACCUACCUCUAGUGUCUGCUUGUUUGUUUAAAGUCUCUGGCAGAGACAUGCUGUCCCAGAGGGCGGGGAAGGCAAAGUGUAGCUCACCCCCUGAGGAAGUAGCAUUGUCCCUGUGGGCUCUGGCUGGGAAGAAGUCCUAAUUCCCUGCCUUGCCUAAACGCAGUCUCUUUUACUCAGCAGAACCCUGGGAGGGCUCCCUGUGAGCCAUCAGAAUUUUCCAGAAUCCUCUGCCUCUUCUCUGUCCCCAUUCCACUCAGUUAGCUAAACCCCUGCUCUUCCAUCAAAAUCCCCCUCAAGAGCUGGGAUUGUGGCUCAGUGGUAGAGCACUUGCCUAGCACUUGUGAGGCACUGGGUUCGAGUCUCAGCACCACAUAAAUAAAUAAAUAAAUAAAAUAAUUAUGUCAAUGUACAACUAAAAUAAAAAAAAUUAAAAAAAUACAAUCCAACUCAAGUGUCACCUUCUCCAGGAAGCCAUUGCUUACUCAGCAGUUAUGAGAGCCCAUCAGAGAAUUCUUACUGAGAGGAGCCCCCACCAGAGAAUUCCUAUUCUCAGUUCUUCUGGUUCCUUCCAGACAAGGAGCUUCUUCUGCACUGUGGAAGCCCCAGGACCCAGCCCCAAACAGGGCUUGCAGGAUAAAUUUAAUAAUCACUCAUGGAAUCAAUAUUGUAUGCCACCACCCGCAGGAAGCCCUUCCUGAUGUCCACUCCGGCCAGUUUGGUUGCUUUCCUUCCAUACCUUUGGAACACACUUUGUGCCUCCUCCAGAGCCCUUUCCCCAUCUUGCCUUUUAGGGGCGCUGUGUAUACAUUUUUCUGUGUGCAGGAAUUUCCAAGACAGGUGUUUUCACUCCUAUUUUACAGAUAAGGUGUUUUCACUCUGUGGCUCAGAGAGGUUGAGUAACCUGCAUAAAGGUCACACAGAGUGACAAAGCCAGGAGGGCGACUUGGUUGUGUUUGGCUUCAGAGCCCCUAUGCUUUCCACUGCCUUACUUAGGUAUCGCCGUAUCUCUUAUAGUGUCGGCACAGAGGCUGGUGCCUGGGAGACCUCCAGUAAUAUUCACACAUUGAAAUGAAGCUCAGCUCCUAGGCAGCGAGCGGUCAGUCAAGUCAGGAGGGAGGGCACAGCUUGGAGACCUUAGCAGAAACCAUGGGCCACCUUCCCAGCAGAGAGACUGUCUCCAGCACUGGGUGGGGUGGUGGAUGUGAACAGGGGCAGCAAUGGACAAGAUGAGGGUCAGACGUAGAGGGGCAGCAAAGAUUGUGGUGUCAGGAAGUGGUUAUGCCUGGGGCUGUUGGGGAGAAGCAAUCCAUUGGAGACACCCUACUGCUAGGGGGUUAAAUGGAGGCUCGUGAAGGAGAGAUGGAGGCUUGUUGCUUCCCUGCCCUCUCCGGCUGGCUCCCCGCUUUUCUGACUGGAUCCUUCGGGGGAGGUUACCCGCUUUGCUUCCUCUGCUGCAAUCUCUUUACCAACUGACAGUCAUUCCCUCUCAUGAACCCCAGUCAAUCCUUCAGGUCCACAUGGGGCCAUGACAUUGGCAGGGAGA